rnacentral:rRNA from 1 species
GAUGAACGCUGGCGGCGUGCCUAAUACAUGCAAGUCGAGCGAACGGACGAGAAGCUUGCUUUUCUGAUGUUAGCGGCGGACGGGUGAGUAACACGUGGAUAACCUACCUAUAAGACUGGGAUAACUUCGGGAAACCGGAGCUAAUACCGGAUAAUAUUUUGAACCGCAUGGUUCAAAAGUGAAAGACGGUCUUGCUGUCACUUAUAGAUGGAUCCGCGCUGCAUUAGCUAGUUGGUAAGGUAACGGCUUACCAAGGCAACGAUGCAUAGUCGACCUGAGAGGGUGAUCGGCCACACUGGAACUGAGACACGGUCCAGACUCCUACGGGAGGCAGCAGUAGGGAAUCUUCCGCAAUGGGCGAAAGCCUGACGGAGCAACGCCGCGUGAGUGAUGAAGGUCUUCGGAUCGUAAAACUCUGUUAUUAGGGAAGAACAUAUGUGUAAGUAACUGUGCACAUCUUGACGGUACCUAAUCAGAAAGCCACGGCUAACUACGUG